AUUAAUACAAAAUCACUUUAGUGAUAUUAACUGGUCCUUUCGUACUAAACUAAUAUAGCAAUUUUAAGAUAGAAACCAACCUGGCUCACGCCGGUUUGAACUCAAAUCAUGUAAGAUUUUAAAGGUCGAACAGACCUAACAAAUAGAGUUCUGCUUCUAUUAUUUAUCUUAAUUCAACAUCGAGGUCGCAAACUUUAAUAUAGAUAUGAACUCCUCAUUAAAAUUACGCUGUUAUCCCUAAGGUAACUAAUUCUUAUACCCCUUGAAUUGGGAACCUUAAUAACAUUAAUAAAUGAAUUUAAAAAAUAAAAUUGAAAAUUUAUUUGCUUCCCCAGCAAAAUAAAAAUUAUUAUUAUAAAUAUAUAAUUUAAAUAUAUAAAUAAAAUUUAUAUGAAGUUCUAUAGGGUCUUAUCGUCCCUAAAAGUUAAUUAGGCUUUUUUACCUAAAAAUUAAAUUUUGAAAUUAAAAAAAAUAAAAUAUACUUCUCAUUUACUCUUUCAUUCCAGCUCCUAAUUAAGAAACUAAUUAUUAUGCUACCUUUGUACAGUUAAUAUACUGCAGCCAUUUAAAAAUAUCAUAGGGCAGAAUAUACUUUCUAAAAAAACAAAAAGAAAUGUUUUUGUUAAACAGUUGGAAGUAAAAUUUGUUGAAUUAAUAGUUAUAUAUAUAUUGGACAUACUAAUUAAAUCAUUAUUUAUAUUGUAUUAAAUUUUUUAAUAAACUUAAGUAUAAACUUAAAUAAAAAAAAAUCCGAAUUAAAUAUAUAAAUUUAUUACAAACUUAAAUCAAAAUUUAAAAGAAAAAAAAUAUAACAAUAUUUAAAUUGUAAGAAAAUAUUAAGAUUAUCCCUAAUAAUUUUUGAAUUAAAUCUUUUUAAUAAAAAAUAACUUAAUUCUUUAAUUUAAUUAAAUCCCUAAGAACCAGAUAUCUUAAAUAGCGAAUAACAUUUCAUUACUAAUAUUUUAUUAUAUAACUUUUUGUAACAAAUUUAUAAUUAAAAUAAUUAACCUAUAUAAUUCGGGAAUAUAAAAUAUUUAAGUAUUUUAAUUUACCCUGAUACCAAAGGUACUAUAAAAUACUUAUAUAAUAAACAAACUUUACCUUCUCAGUAGCUAAAAAUAAUUUUUUAAUUUACUAUAAAUAUUACAUAUUAUAAAAAAUAGAUUUAAUUUAAAUAA
rnacentral:rRNA from 1 species